ACAUUUUCAGACCAGAGCUGAAAUCUUAUCCAAUGAGAAGAUACAUGGGCAGAAUUACCACAAGCCGCUUGCAGCUGACUCUCGGAAUCUAUCACAAACACAACCUGGGCCUGACACCUCCAAAGCGCAUAUUUCAUGCAUAGCUGGACAAAUAACACAUGAAAGUGAGUUUGGGGCCAGAUGACAGACCUAUGUCAUGCACGAUUCGUUUCCAGCGUCUUUACAGCAAGCACACGCAUUGUAUAACGUGAAAUCCGCUUCUCGCUCCGGAAGCGGUACAGCUGAAGGUUUGAAGAUGGAAUCGGCCCACUCUGAAGAUACUGGGCAAAAGAACUGCCGGGGGGAAGAUCAUCUCAAUGGACUUCAAUCUAUUCACAUUAAAGAGGAGGAGCCUGAGCUGGAGUCUGACGUUGCAGACAGCGUGACAGGACUGGGGUCUGUCUGCAUUAAAGAGGAGGAGCCUGAGCUGGAGUCUGACGUUGCAGACAGCGUGACAGGACUGGGGUCUGUCUGCAUUAAAGAGGAGGAGCCUGAGCUGGAGUCUGACGUUGCAGACAGCGUGACAGGACUGGGGUCUGUCUGCAUUAAAGAGGAGGAGCCUGAGCUGGAGUCUGACGUUGCAGACAGCGUGACAGGACUGGGGUCUGUCUGCAUUAAAGAGGAGGAGCCUGAGCUGGAGUCUGACGUUGCAGACAGCGUGACAGGACUGGGGUCUGUCUGCAUUAAAGAGGAGGAGCCUGAGCUGGAGUCUGACGUUGCAGACAGCGUGACAGGACUGGGGUCUGUCUGCGUUAAAGAGGAGGAGCCGGAGCUGGAGUCUGACGUUGCAGACAGCGUGACAGGACUGGGGUCUGUCUGCAUUAAAGAGGAGGAGCCUAAGCUGGAGUCUGACGUUGCAGGGAACGUCUCUGAUCUGGGACUGGUCUGCAUUAUAGAAGAGUAUCCCGAAUGGGAGGCAGUCCACAUCACAGGACAAACUUACUCCACUGCCAGCAUGUUAUCCAAACUUCAUUCAGAAGAAGAAACAGAGUCCUACCCUUGCCCUCACUGUGAAAUCUCCUUUACUGGAAAGAAGUACCUGGAUAAGCAUGUCAAAAACACACACCGCGAAGCAUACCUGCAUAUGCUGAGGACUCGUUCCACCAAAAACAGUGAAAACCAAGCAUUAAACCAGCUGAGUACCAAAACUGCAGACUCUGUGUGUGUCACUGAUUCAGAAAGCAUGGGCAAGCCUCUGGCCUCACACCUCUGCACCGAAUGUGGAAAGAACUUCAGCCGUCUGAGCAGCCUUAAAACACACCAGCGAACUCACACAGGGGAGACCCCGUUCCACUGUAUUGAAUGCAGCAAGAGCUUCAGCCGCUUAGGAAUCCUUACGAAGCACCAGCGAAUUCACACGGGCGAGAAACCGUAUCGCUGCGCUGACUGCAGAAAGAGUUUCAGGACCUUGGAAAACCUGAAGCAGCACCAGCGAAUUCACACGGGCGAAAGCCCGUAUCGCUGUACUGAGUGUGAGAAGAGCUUCACGCAGUCACAACACCUUAAAAGACACCAGCUCAUUCACAAGGGGGAGUACCCGUAUUUCUGCACUGACUGUGGGAAGAGGUUUAGCCAGCUGGAGCACCUGAAAACACACCAGCGGGUUCACACUGGCGAGGCUCCCUAUCUCUGCAGGCAGUGUGAGAAGUGCUUCAAGUUCUCCGGGGACCUGAAAAGACACCAACGAAGCCACACUGGAGAGAAGUUCCACUGUGCUGACUGCGGGAAGAGUUUCACUCGGUUGGCAAACCUCAAAACACACCAGCAGCUUCAUGCUGGGAGAACUGGUGCCACCGAACAGAUCCAAUAAAGAAAUGCGUUGGCUCCCAAACCAAAUAAAAAUGAUCUCUUCAAACUCUAGCUUUCAAGACCUCAAAUAUAUCUUCAGGUGUAAAUUACAAAAGCAGGUGCCUUCAACAAUAACGCCUAUUUCAUUAGAUUUCCACUUACGCCUGAAGGCUUUUGAGGUCUUGAAAGCUAACAUUGACUCUAAUAAACAGUAUAAACUCUUCAAAUCUGUUGUCGUCAUUACCUUGUUUAACACGGCAAUGCACUCUUGAAUAGCAUCACAGGGCGUUUCACAGUUCAAAUCUAAAAGAUCACUAAUGAGCUUGUGGGUGUAUCCAUUCAAGCUGUGAAAACAGACAUGUCUUCAGUCUUUAUAGUAUAAAACAGCUGACUCAGAACUGAUUUUCUCUAUUAAAUAGUUAGUGGCCAGGACACCUUGAAUAUGUGUAACAAAUAUUCUCAAUAAAUAACUUUUUGGUACCGGUUCAUAGUUGCAAUGUUGUCACUUAUAUAGGAUUAUUUUUUUUUUUAAUAAUAAUACAAAAAAAUGCUUCACAAAGCUGACCUUUCUGACAAAACUUCCCAAAAUAAAAACAUCCGGUUGGUUUUACCCGAACUAACCCUACCCACAACGAAGAUGGCGUACUCCUAUCUGGAGUCACUUUUAUGUGCCCUCAAGAAAGAUGGCGGACUCUGAAUCCGGGUUCUCACUGCCUUCACUGGAGAUUGUGGGUAGGUUAGUGCUCAUGCGCAGAAAGGCCAUUUUCAAAACAAACAAAAGGAAGGUUUUUAGGGUCCUGGUCGCUGUCUUCAGAGCUUGGCUGAGAUCUCACCAGAGAGGCAGCACCACACCAUUUAACACUGUCUGUUGAAAUGAAGGGG